rnacentral:rRNA from 1 species
UACGAAGGGUGCAAGCGUUACUCGGAAUUACUGGGCGUAAAGGGUGCGUAGGUGGUUCGUUAAGUCUGAUGUGAAAGCCCUGGGCUCAACCUGGGAAUUGCAUUGUAUACUGGCGGGCUAGAGUGCGGUAGAGGGUAGUGGAAUUCCCGGUGUAGCAGUGAAAUGCGUAGAUAUCGGGAGGAACAUCCGUGGCGAAGGCGACUGCCUGGACCAGCACUGACACUGAGGCACGAAAGCGUGGGGAGCAAACAGGAUUAGAUACCCCCGUAGU